UGGGGGAUAUUGCACAAUGGGCGAAAGCCUGAUGCAGCGACGCCGCGUGGGGGAUGAAGGCUUUCGGGUUGUAAACCUCUUUCGCUAUCGAACAAGGCCCGCUUAGGGUGGGUUGAGGGUAGGUGGAGAAGAAGCGCCGGCUAACUACGUGCCAGCAGCCGCGGUAAUACGUAGGGCGCGAGCGUUGUCCGGAAUUAUUGGGCGUAAAGGGCUUGUAGGCGGCUUGUUGCGCCUGCUGUGAAAACGCGGGGCUUAACUUCGCGCGUGCAGUGGGUACGGGCAGGCUUGAGUGUGGUAGGGGUGACUGGAAUUCCAGGUGUAGCGGUGGAAUGCGCAGAUAUAUGGAGGAACACCGAUGGCGAAGGCAGGUCACGGGGCCAUUACUGACGCUGAGGAGCGAAAGAAUGGGUAGCGAAGAGG
rnacentral:rRNA from 1 species